CCUACGGGUGGCAGCAGUCGAGAAUCAUUCACAAUGGGGGAAACCCUGAUGGUGCGACGCCGCGUGGGGGAAUGAAGGUCUUCGGAUUGUAAACCCCUGUCAUGUGGGAGCAAAUUAAAAAGAUAGUACCACACGAGGAAGAGACGGCUAACUCUGUGCCAGCAGCCGCGGUAAUACAGAGGUCUCAAGCGUUGUUCGGAAUCACUGGGCGUAAAGCGUGCGUAGGCUGUUUCGUAAGUCGUGUGUGAAAGGCGCGGGCUCAACCCGCGGACGGCACAUGAUACUGCGAGACUAGAGUAAUGGAGGGGGAACCGGAAUUCUCGGUGUAGCAGUGAAAUGCGUAGAUAUCGAGAGGAACACUCGUGGCGAAGGCGGGUUCCUGGACAUUAACUGACGCUGAGGCACGAAGGCCAGGGGAGCGAAAGGGAUUAGAUACCCUUGUAGUUC
rnacentral:rRNA from 1 species